rnacentral:rRNA from 1 species
CCUACGGGACGCAGCAGUGGGGAAUAUUGGGCAAUGGGCGCAAGCCUGACCCAGCAACGCCGCGUGAAGGAAGAAGGCUUUCGGGUUGUAAACUUCUUUUCUCAGGGACGAAGAAAGUGACGGUACCUGAGGAAUAAGCCACGGCUAACUACGUGCCAGCAGCCGCGGUAAUACGUAGGGGGCAAGCGUUAUCCGGAUUUACUGGGUGUAAAGGGAGCGUAGACGGCCGUGCAAGUCUGAUGUGAAAACCCGGGGCUCAACCCCGGGACUGCAUUGGAAACUGCAUGGCUGGAGUGUCGGAGAGG